AAUGCCAAAAACCUUUGUGAAAAUCUGAAAUAAAAACCUCUUCCUCUUCACCAACACUGCAAACAAAAUGCACCAUUGACAAACACUGAACCUGAACCUAUAAUGGCAUUGACUAUUAGCAAUGCUAAAUUAUCAGAAUUCUCUUUCCUAAACUCAAAUUCAUCUUCAUUCUCACUCUCCCAUUUUCCUCGCUCCUCCACUCUCUUCCUCUCUCACUCCAAUUUCCCAUUUCCCACUCUCAUUUUCUCUUCUCUCAGAACUACCCAACACAAAAAUACCCCUAAUUCUAACCCUAACCCUACCCACAACCCUUCCUCAUCAAAACCCAACAUUUCUGCACCAUGGCUCCCCAAAACCCCUUCUUCCGACAAUUCUCCCAAAAGGGUCGCCGAUUCCACCACAAAGGAUUCAUUUUCCAAUGCAGCCGAGAAAGGGCACUUUCAGAGUAGUGAUAAAGGGCAGAACGCGGUUGAGAGAAUUGUUCUUCGGUUAAGGAAUUUGGGGUUAACUCCAGAGGAUGAAAAAGAAGCAGAAGCUGAAGGUGAAGCAGAAGGAACAGAAGCUAAUGUUAAUGACGCUGUUCCGGUGACCGGAGAGGAGAGAUUGGGUGAGUUGUUGAAGAGAGAGUGGGUUAGGCCAGAUUCUGUGUUGUUGUUGGAUGAGGAUAAGGUGAAUGGUGAACUAGUUUUGCCAUGGGAGAGAGAAGAAUAUGAGGUGGUGGAUAAGAAGGAGAAGGAGAAGGGUGAAGAGGGAGAGAAUGAGUUUCGGAAAAGAAGGGCAAAGGCACCAUCUUUGGCUGAAUUAACACUUGAAGAUGAGUUAUUGAGGAGGUUGAGGAGAGAGGGGAUGACAAUUAGAGAGAGGAUUAAUGUGCCUAAAGCUGGGCUUACAGAAGAUGUGAUGGAUAAGAUUCACAAAACAUGGAGGAGGGAGGAGUUGGUGAGGCUCAAGUUUCAUGAGGAACUUGCUAGGGAUAUGAAAACUGCUCAUAAGAUUGUUGAGGUUGCUACAAUUUCAAAAUAAUCGUUCUUGUCAUAUUCAUAUCAAAUACUUCACGGAAACUCUAGUUAGAUUGUGCAAUUAUUUACUUAAUUCUAAAAGUAAUAUAGUGGAAAUAUCACAAUAAUUAGAUAAAUGUUAACAUUCUGUUAUGAUGUUUUAUAAUGACUUAUGCUAAUUUAUAAAAUAUUAUCUCUAUUUCAAUAUAAGAUUUGUGCUUUCAUCAAUUUAAACUCCCUUGUACAUGUCCUAUCAUAUUUAUGUCCCAUGUCACAAAUAUGUAAUUACCUUAGUGUGGUUUAUGUUUUGGUGGAAUUUAGGAGCUGCACAAAGUGGAUGACUAGAUGUUAUUUUGGUUCUCCAAAGAAAUAUGUUUUAUCAGAAAAAUAAAAUUUACGCAACAAUAGUAUUCAAUUAUCAUAGUUUCGUACUUUAGGAACCAAUUUGAUGGCAUAAAGUGACAUUAAACAGCCAAUCUUCUGUAUUAAAAAUGAUGGACCAAUCGAAAGACAUGAGUACAUUUGGGAGACUUGAAGUGGAAUUUACUCUUAUGUCUUUUAGUUGAUGCAAGCUGAGUAAAUCCUUCAGCGCAGUUCAUGUUUUGUUGGAUUUUGUGACUUGUGAGUUUCAUUUGAAAUGCAUAUCAAUCUUAUUGGUCAUGUCAGUAUGUCAUUGCUGCUAUGUGAGACCGUUGUGCUGAAUACUUAGAUCAAUGCAUAUAGGUUAGUGUUUACUGUGUUAAAGAACAUAUCAGCUGACUUGUUGUAGUGUGCAGCGCCGAACAGGAGGAUUAGUUACAUGGAGCUCAGGGAGUGUUAUGAAUGUUUAUCGUGGUAUUAAUUACCAAGGGCCUGCAUCUGAGAGCCAACUCAAUGAAAGAGAAGGUGAUGGCUUUUUCGUACCAGAUGUCUCCUUGGGAAGUUUAUCAAGAACAAAAGACAGUAAUGAAACCUCGACCCUGGAGAAGACGGAGCCAGUUGUGAAGGAUCAAGAAAAGUCUGAGAACAUGACAGAGGAGGAAGCAGAGUACAAUGCCCUACUUGAUGGUUUAGGUCCUCGUUUUGUUGAAUGGUGGGGUACAGGAAUACUUCCUGUUGAUGCCGAUAAACUUCCUCCUACAGUUCCCGGUUACAAAACACCUUUUAGGCUACUUCCUGCACAAUGCAUUGCUACCAACAUCAAGUAUAGGUGAAUGUGUCGUCGAAUAUCAACGGUUACCACUAAACCAGAUGGCCGACAAGUGGAUACCUCUUCAAGGGGUUAAAAGGGGUGAGAUUCACAUCCAAAUUACUAGAAAAGUUGCAGAGAUUCAAAGGAGAAAUACUAUAGACGAAGAACUUUCCUUAAGUAAAUUACACGGAAUUCCUAACCAGGUGAGAUCUUCUUUCAUAUCGGAGAACAUUCAUCUUUUAAAUGCAUGAUCGAUUAUUGUUAUUAUUUGAUAAUAAUAGAAUCAUUUUUAUUAAAUGUAUAUAUAUUUGUUUUAUAGUAUUUCAUUGGUAUAAAUGUAUGUUAUUACACAAAAAUGGCACCUAAGUGACCUAACAGAUUUUGUUUCCUUUCCAAAUAAGCUUGAAACUUUCAGCUUAAGUUUCAACUUCUUGUAUCAUUAUUAGAAUUGCCAUUUUACAAUUUAAGCUAGUUUGUCUAACAUGCUAGAUUAAAACUAGAAACUAAUGGCUUUCUUGUAGUCCCAUUUACUAUUUAUUCUGUGAAGUUAUGGUUAUUCUCAUUUUCAUAUUAUGGCUUAUUCUAAGGAGCACGUUUUCUGUCCCACAAUGUGUACCACUUCAUAUGUAAUCAACUGUGAUUGGUUAGAAAAAUACUUAAAUAUUAAAGUUUUAACUUAAGAUUAAAUACUCAUUUUAGUCCCUCAUAUUUUUCGAUCUUACCAGUUUAGUCCUUCAAAAAAGAAAAGAGCUAAAAUGGUCCCCACAAAUUUCAAAUGUAGGUCAAAUUAGUCAUUUUUAGCAUGUUUUACAACACUUGGUAGGGACUAAUUUAACCCAAAAAGGACUAAUUUGACCCACAUUUGAAAUUUUUGGGACCAUUUUAGGUAUUUUCUUUUUUGAAGGACUAAACUGAUACUGCCGAAAAAUAUGGGACUAAAAUUGGUAUUUACUCUUAACUUAAAUACAUUUUUUUCAACUAAUCACAACUUAUGACACAUGGAGUGACACACGUUAUUUGACAGAAGAUGUGGUACCCUUAUUCUAACACAUUGUGUAAAUUGAACUUUAUCAGAUCAAACAGAUUAUGAUAAAGUGCAGGACUAUGAUAGAGGAUGAAAAUCUUGAAGGACUCUCUACAGCAUUGAGUGAGCUAGAAACUUUAGUGGAUACACAAAGAGGCUAUAUAGUUCAGCUAGAGACUGAAGAAUUACUUCUUCUCAGAAAAAUAAAGGAACUUGGACUAGAAAUCAUAAGCUCUUCUCCUUCCUCAAGCAGAGGAUCUUCUUAUGAUAGUGGAAAUUGAAGCUCAUAUACUUAGAAGUUGAUAUUUUUCCAUGGACAAUGUUGCUUGAGGGAAUCAUCAUAAGAGAUUUAUAUACAUGUUUACUACAAUAUAGCUUGUAAAUGGUUAUUUGAUUAUUUCUAAGUUAAGGGGAUGUAUAAUCUGUAUAAUGCAGAGGGGAUUAUGUUUCUUUGAUUUUGAUUUUUGUGAACUUAAAUGAAAAUAAUAAUCCAUUGCUAUUAUAUAUUUGAGGGAAAUGUUUUUUGUUGGCCUAUACCAAAUAUUGUUAAUUUGUGUGAGCAUGAUUAAAUAUUAUCAUAUAUGCUAUGCUGUUCAAUGUUCAUAAACCUGGAAUAAAUAUAGUGUAUGCAUCUGUGAGUGGAAUAUAGCAAGGGUGUUGAACUAGGAAAAGUAGAUUAAUUAGGAAAACUAAAUUUUGGAACCUGAUCAUUUUUUAUGGUAUCACCUUAAACUUUAAAUCAAAUGACAUCAUAAUAUUAUAUCGUAAAUCAUAUUUAUUAAUAAAAGAUUGAUCUUUUGUCUUAUGAGUUUAAUAUAUACAAAUUGGAUGUGUAAGAUUUAUACACAACUCAAUUAGUACAUUAUUCACCUUUCAUUUUUAUUAUUUUUUGAAGAGUUAAUAUUGAUUAAACAUGAAUGAUGAAUGAUAUAUAUUAUCCGCACAUACAUUUUUUGAUCUUAGGUUAUUGUCUAAGAAAAUAAAAGUCAUUUUACAUGGAUAAACAAUGAGCUUAACCUAUGGUGUGUGGAGAAUUGCUGAAAUUAGUUUUCUAGUAGUAGUGAGAAAAACAAGUGAUUUUUUAGGAAAUUUUUUUGGUGUAAGACUGGAAAACCUCUUAAGAGGAUAAUUUUGAAUUUUUGAUAUUGCAACUUGCCUUAUCCAAUGCCAAAAACCUUUGUGAAAAUCUGAAAUAAAAACCUCUUCCUCUUCACCAACACUGCAAACAAAAUGCACCAUUGACAAACACUGAACCUGAACCUAUAAUGGCAUUGACUAUUAGCAAUGCUAAAUUAUCAGAAUUCUCUUUCCUAAACUCAAAUUCAUCUUCAUUCUCACUCUC
rnacentral:lncRNA from 1 species